UAACAAGGUCUCCGUUGGUGAACCAGCGGAGGGAUCAUUACCAGAGUGCCCUAGGCUCUCCAACCCAUUGUGAACUUACCAAACGUUCCCUCGGCGGGCUCAGCGCGCGGUGGCCUCCGGGCCUCCGGGCGUCCGCCGGGGAAAACCAAACCCUGAUUUAAUCGUAUUUCUCUGAGGGGCGAAAGCCCGAAAACAAAAUGAAUCAAAACUUUCAACAACGGAUCUCUUGGCUCUGGCAUCGAUGAAGAACGCAGCGAAAUGCGAUAAGUAAUGUGAAUUGCAGAAUUCAGUGAAUCAUCGAAUCUUUGAACGCACAUUGCGCCCGCCGGCACUCCGGCGGGCAUGCCUGUCCGAGCGUCAUUUCAACCCUCAGGCCCACCCUUCCGGGGGAGCGGGCCUGGUGCUGGGGAUCGGCGGCCCUCGCGGCCCCCGUCCCUCAAAUACAGUGGCGGUCGCGCCGCAGCCUCCCCUGCGUAGUAGCACAACCUCGCACCGGAGAGCGGAACGACCACGCCGUGAAACCCCCAAUUUUUUAAGGUUGACCUCGGAUCAGGUAGGAAUACCCGCUGAACUUAAGCAUAUCAAUAA
rnacentral:rRNA from 1 species